CCCAGGGCUGGCGCCGUGGGCUGCAUUCUUUCGCCGCUUCGCGGCU
rfam:Acidobacteriales bacterium 13_2_20CM_2_55_5 13_2_20cm_2_scaffold_2002, whole genome shotgun sequence.